CUAUCGGUUUUUUGUAAGUAGGCUAGUAUUACUAAUGCUAAAUUGCUAUGCUUUAUCUCAUUAGAUUAAUGACAAGGAUGUUAUUACUUAACUUUUAAGACCGAGGUCUCUAUGAAUUUUAGUAAUACGUUCAAAGCAAUAUUAACAU
rnacentral:misc_RNA from 1 species